CAGGAUUUGAGAAAGAAAUGAGGAAGGACAUGAUUGGAAACUGGCUGAGAAUACUGAGCUUUUGCUGACUCUCUGGGCACUGUUUCUCUGAGCUGCCUCCCUACGUUCUUCUGCAACACAAGGCUGAUUGCUGACCUGUCUUGAAAAUGCCCCCUUUCCUUUCCUUUUUUUUUUUUUUUCUGUCUCCAUCUCCCUCCUUCAGGCACCUGACAAGAUUUACAGCUUGCCUGCACUUUUGCUUUUCCCUCAGAUGCUAAUAACAUUGCCCUUAACCUUUAUUCUGAGUCUGUUAAAAUACAUGUUACUAACCAAACUAAGAACCCAAGGGGGGACCUCCAUAUCCCCAGUAUUCUUAAACACAAGAAGCCCUGGUAUAAUUGUUUCUCACUUGUUAAGAUCAGUGAAGUCCUUUGUAAGACACAAUCAGGAGGCAGUUUCUUGUGACAAUUGCUUUUGGUCUCUAUAUUUCUCCACUGCCAGCCCCGAGGAGAAGCCCUGAAAUGAAAUUUCCACCUUAUUGGGAGUUGCAUCUGGUUUUAAGGCAGACCUUUGCAACCCCACAGGCAAUUCUGAAAAACUACUCUUUCUGAAUUGAGUUUCAGAAUUUGGGGACAUGAUGAAAGAAGUCUCAACAAAAGGUGUCCCAGACUUCCCAUUAGGUAAGAUAUAGAAUGUCCUGAAAAGAUAUUCUCCUUGUUAGGUGAAUGGUCUGCUUUUCUGGCACUUGAGAAGUGCUAGAAAGAUGGGCUGUAAGCCUUACAGCUCAAAAGAAGUCCUGCUACUGUGAAACCCAUGGUUCUUGGCACAUUACUGAGGUGUUAUGUCCUAGUGGAUUUUUAUAUUGUGUAGGUGGAAACAGUAUUGUCAGAAGGAGGACUAUCUCAUGAAGAAUGUCAUGUUCUACUCUAAGACCCAAUGGAAAGGACACUUUAACCCAGAAUUCAGGGUUAGCCUGGCUGCAAACUCUGAAGUGUAGAAUUGUGGGCAAGAUGGCUAAUUAAAUCAUUCCCUGUUGAUAUGAUAUGACAUGUUUCUAGUUCAGGCCUGACUCAAUUCAAAACCCUUUCUGUUUUGUGGAAAUAGGAAUUUCUGGAAGUAUGAAAUAUGCAAAACUGAUGAUCUUACAGUGAAUUUAGCCCUAGGGGUUUUAAUAUUAAGUUUUUACCUUCUAUUUAAGGUUUAUGAGACAUACAAGUCGAAGAUGCUGUAGAUAUAGCAAUAGUAAAGUGCUUGCCUGGAAACAAUCAAGCUCCCUUAUUUGAACGGCCACUGACCAGAGGAAGCAUUUCCAGUUUUGACCUGUUCUUUCAGAAUUGCUACUAUUUACAUACAUAUUGAUGAGAUAUUCUGAUGAAGGGACACAGGUCUCAAUGUGAAAUUCACUUGUUUCACAUGCUCCUAGUACACAGAACCUAAAGAUGACGUUAUACAUUUUGAAUGUAACUGUCUUUGGACUACUUCCAAUCAUAUGAAGUCAGGUGUGGAUUUUGCCACUUGUGGGUUUCUAUGAGUGCUCAGAAAGUUGUUGUUGUUUUUGUUAGUUUGCUUGCUUGUUAGUAUUUGCUCAGUAAACUUGUAGCAUGCAAUGGCCAUAUACAGGUUAUCAUGGUCAAACAAAGAUUUUAUAAGAUAGUAUUGAAAACUGUUGAUACUGCAGACUUCUUAGAAAAUGAACAUUUCCUCCCUCUAAUCUGAGAUGUUCCUCCCUCCCUAAGUCUCCCCCACCAUUAGCAACUGCCCGGGUUUUUCUCUCUUUGUCAGUUUUUUUUAGCAAUGAGACUCAUGCUUUUCCCUGAAAGAACCCUCACUGCUUCAGUUCAGCUUCUGAUUGGUAUCCUUUCCAUCAGAAACAGCAUAUUCCAUAAAGGACCACUGCCCUGCCCCCCCCCCCCCCAAGGACACAAACCUUGGAAAACAAAUUCCUUUUCAGAAAAGUUGCCAAACAAAUCUCCCGGUUCUCAAAAAGUAGAUGGUACAGCUGCAUUUAAGCUAUGAGGAGUAAACCUCGAUCCUGUUAGGGGUCCACAGAAUUUUACCAUAGAACCUGGGUGAGUCAAGGUAAGUUUGUUCUUAGUGUCAGUGACACUGAAACAGAGACAUACAAAGCCAAGCCAAAGAGACUUAUGACAGGUCAUUAACCUGGUGCCUAUCUAUACUUCCUCUUCAGUCAACUUAGGGGAUGUUGGCAUCAUGUAACUAAUUGGUUUUUGCCUCUCGAAUCUGUUCCAAAGCUAUCUUAUUAUUAUUCAUCAUGUUGCCAAUGUCUGUCUUAGAUCUCAGUUCACUUAGCCUGAGCAAUGGGAUGUUACUGUGUGUUCUGGAUUAUUUCAUGUUUGGAUAACAAUACAUACAAGUAGAAAUAUCCUAGUCAUCUUGGUAUCAUCUCAACAAAGACAAGGAGAUGAAUAAGUUAACAGCUUUUAAAUUAAAAUGCAAGAGACCUUUUGAAACAUUUUAUUGUAUUUACUUUCAGUUGUUUUUUGUUGUGCUGAUUUUCUCUUUCUUUUGUCACAUGAAUUAAAUGUGCUUAAAAUUAAAGGCUCUUCAAUUUACUGUAACAAUUGUUGAAUAGCUGCAUACAGCACAUACAUCCAGAAAUACUAAAACUCUUACAGUUGAAAACACUGACUACCUUCUCUUAAAUCCUUUCUCACAUUAGUGCACAUAAUGAUCCCUGACCACAGUAUAAAAGGAAUUAGAAUUCCCCUCUUCCUCAGUAGUUUACAUUAAUUUGUUAGAUGCUAUACAGGGCAUUCAGAAUUCAGAAUAAAGUGAAGACCUUGCAGAGAAGACAGCAGGUAAAUGGGAACAGUGUAGAAACCUGCUGGCCAUAGCCAGUGUUUAAGGCUUAAGCCUUAAAUGUAAGCUAUUUCUGUUUUCUAGCCUGUUCUAAUUAUGUUUUGGUCUAUGUAAUUUCUAUUAAUUGUUAGGUCUCUUUUGAAAGGUUAUUGGUUUGGAUGCAUUUUUCUCCUAAAGAAUUAACAUAUGAAAGACUGAUUCUCAGCAUUCAGUGAUUGCCAACCUGUAAGAGACUGAGGCUUUUGAAGGUGAUUGGGUCCUGAGGGAAAUGUUCUCUCCAAGGAGACUUACUCUAGUGUUGAUAGGACUCCAAGUCGUCCUUUGAGAGUGAGUUGUGGAAAGACAAGGCAGACCUUAUUCUAACUUCUUUAAUGUAUUUAGAUGAACAUAUACAUAGAAGGGUGCACUGCAACAUGAUUUUUAAAAUUCUUUUUAAAAUUAAUAUAUAAUGUGAUGGUUUCUAUAUGCUCAGCCCAGGGAGUGGCACUAUUAGAAGGUGUGGCCCUGUUGGAAUAGGUGUGGCCCUAUUGGAGUAGGUGUGUCACUGUGGUGUGGGCUUUAAAACCCUACUCCUAGCUGCCUGGAAGUCAGUGUUCUGCUAGCAGCCUUCAGAUGAAGAUAUAAAACUCUCAGUUUUCCUGUACAUUGCCUGCCUGGAUGCUACCAUGUUCCUGCCUUGAUGAUACUGGACUAAACGUCUGAACCUUUAAGCCAGCCUCAAUUUAAUGUUGCCCUUAUAAGAGUUGCCUUGGUCAUGGUGUCUCUUCACAGCAGUAAAACCCUAACUAAGACAUAUAAUUAUGUAAUUUUCCCCCUUCCCUUUCCCACCCACUAAUCUAUUCUCCUUGCUCUCAG
rnacentral:lncRNA from 1 species